AGUGAACGCUGGCGGUAGGCCUAACACAUGCAAGUCGAACGGCAGCACAGUAAGAGCUUGCUCUUACGGGUGGCGAGUGGCGGACGGGUGAGGAAUACAUCGGAAUCUACUUUUUCGUGGGGGCUAACGUAGGGAAACUUACGCUAAUACCGCAUACGACCUACGGGUGAAAGCAGGGGAUCUUCGGACCUUGCGCGAUUGAAUGAGCCGAUGUCGGAUUAGCUAGUUGGCGGGGUAAAGGCCCACCAAGGCGACGAUCCGUAGCAGGUCUGAGAGGAUGAUCAGCCACACUGGAACAGAGACACGGUACAGACUCCUACGGGAGGCAGCAGUGGGGAAUAUUGGACAAUGGGCGCAAGCCUGAUCCAGCCAUACCGCGUGGGUGAAGAAGGCCUUCGGGUUGUAAAGCCCUUUUGUUGGGAAAGAAAAGCAGCAGGUUAAUACCCCGCUGUUCUGACGGUACCCAAAGAAUAAGCACCGGCUAACUUCGUG
rnacentral:rRNA from 1 species